UCAGACAUGGUGUUGUGGUGACACGGCCUCUUCGAAUAGGAUCGUCCGGAAAUCGGUAUUUGGGGCAUUCCAGGGUUCGACUCCCUGUCUCUGAA